AAUUAAUGAGCUUGAAUAAGCAUAUGUUUUGAAAACAUAAGAUAGAUGUAAAUCCAUCUAUUAAUUU
rnacentral:tRNA from 1 species